rnacentral:rRNA from 1 species
UACGUAGGGGGCAAGCGUUUGUCCGGAUUUAUUGGGCGUAAAGAGCGUGUAGGCGGUUUGGUAGGUCCGCUGUGAAAACUCGAGGCUCAACCUCGAGACGCCGGUGGAAACCAUCAGGCUAGAGUCCGGAAGAGGAGAGUGGAAUUCCCGGUGUAGCGGUGAAAUGCGCAGAUAUCGGGAAGAACACCCGUGGCGAAGGCGGCUCUCUGGGCCGAUACUGACGCUGAGGAGCGAAAGCGUGGGGAGCGAACAGG